GGUCUCCUCCUAUAGUAGUGGUGCAGGGAGGAGCCCCCCCCCUGCAGCCAGUGGGAGAGACAGAGAAUAAAAAACAGAGGAAAAUCGUCAUGGCUGCCAGCAGCUGGUGGCUGCCAUGUUUUCCUGCCUCUUACACUG
rnacentral:snoRNA from 1 species